rnacentral:lncRNA from 1 species
GAGGAAGUCUAGAGCCAUGGAAACCAAGUCAGGAAACUUCUCUCUUAUUAUUAGGUCAACAGCAAAUCUAGUUGAGACUGCAAAUCGAGGUUUUUCUCAGGGGAAGCCGAGCUCCAGACUAUUCAUUUGUCCUGAGGCAGCCACCGGAAACACAAUCAUUUUGUAUUUCUAUGAUGUUUUGACCUUUUAUCCAAGUCAGCCCUAUAGAAUGGGCCAGGAGGUUGCUGCCACUGAAUAAGCCACUGUGAUUUUUAGCGUCAAGAAUUUUGCUGUUAACUAUGGCAGAAAAAUAGACAGAGG